rnacentral:rRNA from 1 species
UACGGGGGGGGCAAGCGUUGUUCGGAAUUACUGGGCGUAAAGGGCGCGUAGGCGGUUGGAUAAGUCAGCUGUGAAAACCACGGGCUUAACUCGUGGCCUGCAGUUGAGACUGUCUGGCUUGAGUAUGGGAGAGGUGAGUGGAACUGCGAGUGUAGAGGUGAAAUUCGUAGAUAUUCGCAAGAACACCAGUGGCGAAGGCGGCUCACUGGCCCAUAACUGACGCUGAGGCACGAAAGCGUGGGGAGCAAACAGG